rnacentral:rRNA from 1 species
AGAUAAUACUAAUUAAGGCAAAAUAUUAAACCAUUAUAUAAUGGCGGUCUCAAUACAUUAAAGAAACUCGCUUUAUAAUCGUAACAACCCGUUAAUUUUAACUAGACCAAAAUAGUCUAUAUACCGCCAUCAUGCAAGAAUUAUUAUUGAAAAUAACCCAAAUACUAACAAAAAACAAAAAAUUAGGUCAAGGUGUAGCUUAUGGUAAAGAAAAAGUAAGUUACACUAAAAAUAAUUUAAGAAAGUAACAUAAAAAUAACACAGAAAAAGAAUUUAUAUAUACAAUCUAAUUAAAAUCUAGUAUAGAAAAAUAAAUAGAGACGC